rnacentral:lncRNA from 1 species
UGCCAGAAAGUAGAUGCUGGAGCAGGAAGAGAGGAAGGAAGAAAAACUCUGGUCCCUCUAAUCUCUUGCCAGUGACUCAUUGGCUAAACCCAACUUGAAGCCAGAUAGUAAGUGGGAAAUUCAUUGAUGUCACCCUCCCAGGGAACAGAGCAAGGAAAGGAAGGGUGAAGAAUGAGUCUAUGGGGUAGAGAAGUAAAGAAUAACAUUCUUAUUCAUUAUACAGCUUCAUUUAUCUAUUUGCAUAUCUUUGUCACCCUCUAGACUGGAAACUAAGAGAAUGUGUCUGAUUUACCCCUAGUGCAUACCACAGUGAACAACACAGUGGGUAUUCAAUCAUUCAUGUUGAAUAAAUGAAGUAAUCUUAAUCCUUCCUAUAUCGGGUGGAUGUCUUCAGAAGUUGGGGUUGCAAUUUGUGUGGAUUGCUUGUCUUCAUAUUAUUAUGGGAGUGAAUGGAGCCAUCCUGUCCCAAAAAGAAUGUUCUAUCGAGUUUAAGGUGACUGAGUCAGACAAAUGGAGACUUAGAGCAAUAUUCUACUUAAACAGAACUCUGGAGCCUUGACAUAAUCUGAAAACAGAUGCAGUGUUGAUCACAGAGGAGGGUCA